UACGGAGGGUGCAAGCGUUGUCCGGAUUUAUUGGGUUUAAAGGGUGCGUAGGCGGCCCGUUAAGUCAGUGGUGAAAGCCUCCAGCUCAACUGGAGGACUGCCAUUGAUACUGGCGGGCUUGAGUACAGACGAGGUUGGCGGAAUUGAUUGUGUAGCGGUGAAAUGCAUAGAUACAAUCAAGAACUCCGAUUGCGUAGGCAGCUAACUAGGCUGUAACUGACGCUGAGGCACGAAAGCGUGGGGAGCGAACAGG
rnacentral:rRNA from 1 species